GGGGGGAGGUGCGGGGGGGGGCGGCGCCCUGAAGGGCGUGGGGAGCGAGGGCCUCUUCAGCUUUCCCGACUCGCUCACCGAGUACUAUGUUCCCGUGAGUCUCAAGCUGAAGCCGCUCGCCGUGCUGCACUUUGCCCUGCACCUGCGCUUCCGCAAGAUUCUCUGCUUCACCAACACCAGACAGGCGGCACACAGGCUGUACCAUCUGGUGUCUAUGAAUGGGGGUGU